UACGUAGGGUGCAAGCGUUAAUCGGAAUUAAUGGGCGUAAAGCGUGCGCAGGCGGUUUUGUAAGUCUGUCGUGAAAGCCCCGGGCUCAACAUGGGAAUUGCGAUGGAGACUGCAAGGCUUGAAUCUGGCAGAGGGGGGUAGAAUUCCACGUGUAGCAGUGAAAUGCGUAGAGAUGUGGAGGAACACCGAUGGCGAAGGCAGCCCCCUGGGUCAAGAUUGACGCUCAUGCACGAAAGCGUGGGGAGCAAACAGG
rnacentral:rRNA from 1 species